CAAGGACAGUCCUCAGAGGGAGGGCCGAGAUUUCCCUGUGGCAUCUCCAUUGCCACGGGAAGUGACCCCAUGACAGGGACAUGCCAGCAGCCACAGAGGCCAGUGUGGACUGGACAGUAGCCUGGCAUCUCUGCAGAGCUCGGCCAAGACCCCGGAGGUGGCCCAGGGCCCAUGUGCCACACAGAAGCCUCAUGGACCCACCGCCAUGAGCUCCCUGUCCACCUGACAUGUCUGGGGAGAGGCAGAGGGAAGAAGCCCCGAGCUUCCACCCGGAAGGGACUGAUCCAAGCGGAAGGGUUGCCCGGGGGACAGCGGGGUGCGUGGUAACGAGUCUGCAUCCUGGUAAGCAGGGGGGGACCCCCACGAGCAAGAUGGCGUAACUGAGGCCACACCGACCAGGCAGCGCUGUCCUCACACCCGUCUGGUGGGCGUGCAUCGCUGCGCCGGCCGCUUGUUGUUUGCGACAGAUGUUACGAAACUGACAAGAAACAAAGAGCUGCAUGGACAGAAGGGGACCGAGCAAGUGGCUGACUAACCCACAUUUCCUCAUUGGUGGGUUCAGCGACGAGGGGCCGCGUUACAGAGACCCUCCUCCAGGACAAGGGAGGGAGGCUCCUCGUGCGCCCCCUUCAGACCCCAGGACCCCCAGCGUCACCACGCCCAGCCCCGCCCCAGCACACCUCUCCAGUGGGGUUAAAACGCUUCCCCCAAUCCCAGGCGCCGACACCUUGGUGAGAUUUCAGUCACAUUCCCACAAUCCCCUGUGACCGCCCCGGAAGGUCGCUGUGGUUAACAUCCACUGCUCAUCACAUGCUGAUGCCCAGAACUGCUCCCCCGAAGGAAAAGCUCUCAGCAAAAAGCAGGUUUUGCCGUCUUACCUGAAAACUGCGGGAUCUCAAUGCGGUCCAGGAAUCAGGGAAAUCUCAGGAAACGUGGCUUUUGUGAAAGAGCAAACUGCAGCAGCCCCUCCUGCAACUGAACCAUUAAUAUUUCAGCUAUAACCGGAAGUAUAUGCUGGUUAAAAAAUUCUUUCCCCCAGAAUUAUAAGCACAUGAUAUCAUUUGCACAACGUUUACUACAGAUGGUGAGUUUUAAGGUAAAUUUGCUAAGUAUGGAUGAGAGGAAAGGGUACAUCUUUUUUAUUUGAGUUUGAUUGUAAAACCUGGCGAGUUUUAUGAAGUGUCAAUGCACAGCUUUUCCAGGCCCGGCUUACAUCAGAGCAGCGCUCUCUGAUAAGCAUCAUCAUCUUCUCCCCACGCACAAGCUUUGAGACGUAAUAAAAAGGAUUGUAAGCACAAGUGUAGGAGGAUGCUAUCUAACCGUGGGAAUGGAAGUGAGCUGGCCAGGUAUGUGUCGCAUCGCUUCACUGGAAUUUGGAAAUUAAUAUGUGCCUGACUUUAUCUUUUCCCUCCAGUUAAUCACUAGGAAAAAACAACACAUUUAGCAAAGGAAAAUGAAGCCUCGGUUUGUAGUCGGUAGGCAGUGUCGGGUCUCCUAGGUGACUGUUUUACGGCCCAUCGGAGCCUGCAUUUAGGACACUUAGGACAGUCCUUCCCAGAAAAAAGGUGCGGGAGAAUAAAGCUGAGAGGACUGCGUUAGUUUCUUACAGCAAUCUGCCUUCGUUACCCAGUGGAUAAAUACGCAGGCCAUCUUUUCCUUUCUGGCUUAAUUUGAUGUUUCUGUAAAUGCCAGGUGGAUAUUCUAAUAGGAACUGUUCAGAUUCUUCUCUAUCAUUUUGAGUCAAAAAGUAACAUGCAUCACUGGGUUUUUUUAGCGUUCUUUCCAUGUAUCCCAUGCGCUUAUCAACACCGGGUUCUGUACCUCGCACGUGCCUUCUGGGAUCACUGGUAGAAACUCGCUGCCGUUUUAUUGUUUAAGUGGGAAGCUGUUUGCAAGCCUGGUUUUCAAGUCAAUGUUUUCCUUUGGGAACAGAAGGUGCAAAAGUGAAAAUAUGUCUUACUCUUUCCUUAAAACGGGACCUAAAAUGUUUUCUCAGAAUGCAUCAUGCAGAUCUGCACACGCUUUCUCCUGGGUUGUCUCAGGAGGCACAGAGCAAAAUGCAGAAUAAAACCUGAAAAAGCACCAGAGGACAUCGUCCUGGUGGGUCUAUACGGAUAAACUCUCAGUGGCCAAAGAGAAAAAAGGUUAUGCUUUCAGAGCUUCUUUAUUUGUGUCCUUUCCCCCCAGAUAAAUAUAUAUGGAUCUUUAUUGCCAAAUCAGGAGCAAAAGAUGGAAUUUAGGGCGGACAGGCCAGUAAAGGUGAAAAUCACCCAGCAUUGUGCCUCAAGAAUUCUAACACUCUUUGUUUGUUUAUUGGAGAGAUACGCAUCCUAGUGCAACACGGAAAGGCUCAAUAAAGCCUGUUUCUCUGCAAACAGAAGCUGUUCAGAAUCAGACUUCCAUCUGACCUGAAGCACUCAUGGGGACUGGCUGAAACCUGACCCACUGCCCAUUUCUACAGGAGGGGGCAGCAAACCCCAGGUCUGGAGCUGGACGCUUUCCAAGAAGACAACAGCUGCCCUCAGUCUUGCGAGGCAAUAAAGGUAUUCCACUGCUGUUUCAGUUUGCGUUGAUUUAAUUCCUGGUGACGUGCGGGCUCUUCCUGCGGCUCACUGAGCGUGGCUCUGCUUCCCGGCCCAAAGCAGUGACGUCAACAGACUUCUCCAGGAUCGACACUGUCAUUAUUGACGUCCUGUUAUGAUGACUAACAACAACCAUGGUCCUGGCUCUCAGUUAAGGAGCGCUUCACAUUCUGUCAUUGACUUUCCUUCAUUACGCUGCUCAUGUGCUCAUUCACGAAGAAUUUACGAAGCAUCCAGCCUGCAGCGGCCGUGCAGUGAAGAGGAGACGAUGAAAGCGCCCGUGGCUUCCAGGCACGGCGCUCUGGCACCUUCCCGUUAGAGAGGAACAAACCGGAAAAGAUGGGUGUGGAGCGAUUUACGCAGCGGUGCCCAGAGAGCACCUGGAGUCGGACACCAGGCCCCAGUCCGAGCGGCCACACUCUGAAACAGACGUGGACGCCCAUGUUUACUUUGCCACUGGGGAAGCCAUUUUGUAGUCACGAUGUGUAGUGCCCCAGCCAGACUUACAUUAAAACGAAUUAAGCCCAAAAUCCACAUG